GAUGAACGCUGGCGGCGUGCCUAAUACAUGCAAGUCGAGCGAACAGACGAGGAGCUUGCUCCUCUGACGUUAGCGGCGGACGGGUGAGUAACACGUGGAUAACCUACCUAUAAGACUGGGAUAACUUCGGGAAACCGGAGCUAAUACCGGAUAAUAUAUUGAACCGCAUGGUUCAAUAGUGAAAGACGGUUUUGCUGUCACUUAUAGAUGGAUCCGCGCCGCAUUAGCUAGUUGGUAAGGUAACGGCUUACCAAGGCAACGAUGCGUAGCCGACCUGAGAGGGUGAUCGGCCACACUGGAACUGAGACACGGUCCAGACUCCUACGGGAGGCAGCAGUAGGGAAUCUUCCGCAAUGGGCGAAAGCCUGACGGAGCAACGCCGCGUGAGUGAUGAAGGUCUUCGGAUCGUAAAACUCUGUUAUUAGGGAAGAACAAAUGUGUAAGUAACUAUGCACGUCUUGACGGUACCUAAUCAGAAAGCCACGGCUAACUACAUG
rnacentral:rRNA from 1 species